rnacentral:lncRNA from 1 species
UUUCCGUUAGGACUCUUACAAGUCCACUCGUCAAGAUCCUCGCCUUUGUAUCAGAACCGUAGUGACCCUCGACCGAGAGGUCAAGCGGACGAAGCAACGCCGUCGCCAAUUAGUGAAGGUUCGUUGGGAUACCAACCGAGAGCCCGAUUUCACUUAAGUGCGCUAGAACCAAUCGAUUAGGAAGUUUCCUCCUCACGUCUCGAUCAUUCGUGCAUACUUCCUUGCCUAAAUUCUAAUUUCGGGACGAAAUUCCCUUUAACAGGGGGAUGAUGUGACAACCCGAAAUUUUCCAUUCAAAUCAAACCAUUUCAAUCCAAUAGAAGUAGAGCAGUUACAGUGAGAAUUCAAACUUUUGGAGUAAGUUUGGCAGUUUUAGGGUUUUACACCUAAGGAGUUAUUAGGAGAGUGGGUGCAUUAGGAUUUUGUGCAACACUGUAAUUCCAUUACUCUAGGUCAUUAGAAUCCACUCCGAGAAUAGAAAUAUUUUCUGCCAAAAAUCUCUGGACUAUAAAUAGAAUUCUGAACCAAAUUGGUUCAUUAUUUGAUUUCCAUUUAGAGAAAAGCCAAAUACUCUCUCACGGAUCUUCGGGUUUUCAUCCCAGAUUGUGAGUCUACUUCCCUAAAUGUGUUUUAAUACUUGUUAUAUGCUUUAUAACAUUGUUUACAUGUCCAAAACACAAGAUCCGGGAGUUUACCGCCCAAGAACGUUCUUGGGGAGUAAACUCCAAAAUCAAGCCUAAAGGCCACCUAGUCCCAUUUCCGUGUUAGGCAUCUAACUAAGGACUUAGUGUAUGAUCAUUAGAGGCUAGAAACAAAUCAAAAGCAAGUAGUUUGAGGAGUUUACGGCCAAGGAACAACCUCUUGGGCCGUAAACUCCAAGUAAAGGGCACAAAUGAGUGCCUAGUGUUCCUUUAGCCUUAGAACAAGAACCUAGAAGCCUUAAACUCAUGAUUUAGACCCACAAAACAAUUAGAAACCAACUUUGGAAGGGAGUUUACGGCCAAGAUGCUCCUUAGGCCGUAAACUCCAAGAUUAAGUGCCAAAACCACUUCAAACUCUUCCUAAGGCUUAGUCUUCAUUUUUGGCUAGUACCUUAAUGUGUUUAGGACCUAGAAAAAUCAUGAAAAGCUCAAGUGUUGAAGAGUUUACGGCCAAGAGUAUUUCUUGGGCCGUAAACUCCUUUAAAGGGGUCAAAGGACACCCUAGACACUUCCUUAGGCCAAGAGACUUUUAGGGCAAGUACCUAGAUGAGUUUUGGGCUAGUUAAAAUUCUUAGAACCUCAUGUGUGAGGGAGUUUACGGCCCAAAGAGUUCUAUGGCCGUAAACUCCAUCAAAUGGUUCCAUUUAAUGCCAUAAACCUCCCUUGAUCCAAGUAUUGAAGCCUAGACUUGUUCCUAGAAAUGUUAGAGACUUGAAAGGACAAUAAGAACCCUCCCAAGGGAGUUUACGGCCGUAAACUCCAAGGGAGAAGGGUCUUUGGGCCGUAAACUCCCCAAAGGAGUCAAUGUGGUGCCCAAACACUUGUAUAGCCUUGAAACAAUUCCCCUCUAAGGUUGUAGUACUUUUAAACUCCAUUUCAUGACUUGUUUGAGAGUUUACGGCCAGGAGCUUACUCCCCUGGGCCGUAAACUCUAAUGAAUAUGGUCUUUUGACCUUAAACUUUCAUUAGGGGCAUUGCACUUCUUUGUUGCAACCCAUUAGCCUCCUAGCACUUGACCAAAAGUGUUGUCCUCGCGCUUAAAUGUUAUUACUUGUAUAAUUAGUGUUAUAAUCACUAAUUAUUUAUAUACAUAUGUUUCAUAUGUAAUUAGGAUCAUUGUGUGUGUCUAAGUCUUCACUUGACACCAAGCACUUGUCUGAUCCUUCCGUACGAUAACAGCCCGUUCAAUUCCAGUCACAUACUGCAGGUGAGUUCAUACCCCUUAACUGUGACAACCCGAAAUUUUCCAUUCAAAUCAAACCACAUCAAUCCAAUGGAAGUAGAGCAGUUUCAGUGAAAAUUCAAACUUUUGGAAUAAGUUUGGCAGUUUUAGGGUUUUACACCUAAGGAGUUAUUAGGAGAGUGGGUGCACUAGGAUUUUGUGCAACACUGUAAUUCCAUUACUCUAGGUCAUUAGAAUCCAUUCCGAGAAUAGAAAUAUUUUCUGCCAAAAAUCUCUGGACUAUAAAUAGAAUUCUGAACCAAAUUGGUUCAUUAUUUGAUUUC